CCUACGGGGGGCAGCAGUAGGGAAUAUUGCUCAAUGGUGGUAACCCUGAAGCAGCAACGUCGCGUGGAGGAUGUCGGUCUUAGGAUUUUAAACCUGUUUUUUUAUAGGAGUUAAUUACGUUAUCUCUCGUAUAUUCACCGUCUAACUCCGUGCCAGCAGCCGCGGUAAUACGGAGGGUGCAAGCGUUACUCGGAAUGACCGGGCGUAAAGCGUGCGCAUGCGGGAUUGUAAGUCAGAUGUGAAAUCCUGUAGCUUAACUACAGAACUGCAGUUGAAACUAUGAGUCUAGAGUGUGGGAGAGGUAGGUGGAAUUCUUGGUGUAGGGGUAAAAUCCGUAGAUAUCAAGAGGAAUACUCAUUGCGAAGGCGACAUACUGGAACAUUACUGACGCUCAUGCACGAAGGCGUGGGGAGCGAACAGGAUUAGAUACCCCAGUAGUC
rnacentral:rRNA from 1 species